GGGUCAAUGAUGAAAUCUUUGCCCAAUGUCUAGAGAGUUGAUGUCUUAAAAGUCAUGCACAAUAGAGUUGCACUGAGGACC
rnacentral:snoRNA from 1 species